GACGAACCGAGCGAACGUUAUUCGGAAUCACUGGGCUUAAAGGGCGCGUAGGCGGGCGGCCGAGUCCGGGGUGAAAGCCCCCAGCUCAACUGGGGAAGUGCCUCGGAUACUGGUCGCCUCGAGGGAGAUAGGGGCGUGCGGAACUUCCGGUGGAGCGGUGAAAUGCGUAGAGAUCGGAAAGAACACCAACGGCGAAAGCACUCUGCUGGGCCGACACUGACACUGAGAGACGAAAGCUAGGGGAGCGAAUGGG
rnacentral:rRNA from 1 species